UGGGAACUCCACAGCCUCCGCAACACUUUUCGUGCCGCCAUUUCUUCUCAGGGUCUUGCCGCCUUUCUCAAGCUCAGCCUGUGGAGUAAAGCGCAGGCACAUCUCUCAGAGACGAGGUCCAUUAUAUUGCCCAGGCUGGUCUCAAGCUCCUGGGCUCAGGUGAUCCUCCCACCUUGGCCUCCCCAAAUGCUGGAAUUACAGUUAUUGCUUGAUGGAUUCUGCUAACUCCCAGGAGAAUCCAAGUGGGAGGACAAGUAGAAGAAAAAAGAGUCCAAAGGCUGGAGCCCUCAGUUUGUUGUUUAUGGAACAUUCCUGCAGUCCCCAGAAGGGGCAUGGUAAGUGGACUAGACACCCAGUUUCGGGCAUUACUCAUCGGGCACCCAGACACUGGAACAGAGGUAUGUAGCAGAAGCCCAGUUAUCUAAACCCAGUCAUAAAGGCAGAGAUGGAGAAGCAAGAGUGGUUUGAUGUGGAGUCUCAGUGUGUUGACUUAAGCCCUUAAACUCUUCUGGCUUCGAUUCAGGUCUCUAAACUGGUUUUUAAGAGCUGGAGCAGGUCCGUCUGCAUGUGGAGUCCAGGUCAAGGUCUACCAUAUGGGAGGCCAGUAGUGUCACUACAAUUGUACAAUUUGCACAAAAGCACCUGGCCAGGCUGAAACCUAGCCCAGGGCUCCUGUUCUCCAAACCACGUGUUUCACACAGCCUGUGUUGUCUCAUCAACACCACCUUUUUGUAAAUCUGAAAAGAUUCCCUAUGUGCCUGGGGUGACCUGCCAGGAGGCUCAUUUGUCCCAGGACUCACAAUUAGGCAGCUCCCUAAAUUUAUACUUCUGGAGAUACCCCCAAGAUAUGUUAUUCCUACAGUCAGAGAGAUACUUAAGAUUGAAAGCACGAAACUGGUUCAUCGUUCACUUAAACCUAUGCCCUAUUGUAAGACAACCUAUCACUUGUGGUGUAACAUUUGUGUGAAUCAGAAAAAGGCAGAUACAGCCCUGCACCAGGUUUGGCAAUUGUGAACCAGAUUUUAAUCCCCGCUCUUCCCCUUGGUCGACCUGCACAGUCAUACCAGGUAGCUCUGCCUAGAUGUCACUUUAAAAAAUAAAUCUGGAAACUAUUUUGUAAAUUGCAAGCUUAUAUUACACAUAUUUUUUGUUGUAGAGUGUUAAUUGCUUUAAUAAUGAAAAAUCACACAGUUUUUAUAACUAAGUUUUAGCAUAUCUUCAUUUAAAAAUAUACCAGGACUAUUAAAAAAAAUGGAAGUGGGCUUGGUCUCUCGCUCUCUCUUUCUCUCUCGCUUCACCUUUGAGAAGGCCCAGCCAAGGAAGAGCAGGGAAGGAGGCUGGAGCUGGAGGCUUGCAGGCUUGACACCUUCCACUCCAAAUAUUGGAGAUAACUGAGGCUGCCUGUCAUCUCUAAUAAUUUUUCCUCCAGGAAAUGUCAUUGCUUCAUUGCAUUGCAAGAAAAUGAUGUCAUAGUAUAGGGCCCUGAUCCGUUUCCUGACUUUUAACCUGAGUCUCAUAACCUUUUUCAACUGUACUGAACCCAGAGAAAAUGAAACACAUCGAAAUGCGAAGACCAGCACAUCUCAUAAAGGCCUUUGAGGCCCCAGGGUGGGGUUAACUUAUGCGUAUAUAUUAAUGAUCAAAAUACAGUCUUGUUUGGGUGUCACAUCCUGGUUAUGGCAUGGACCCAGUACCUAGGAAAUGGAAAGGAAAUAGGCUUCAGGAUGUGUCUGUAAUUUCUUGGCAGAAACCCUUCCUCUUCCUAUAUUGGGUUUAAUUAGUAGUGACAAUGUUAAAUUUAAUUAGGAUGUCUUGCUUGUGUUUUCUUCUGUUGGUGGUUUUUGUUGUUAAACUCCCUGUGAAAAUCAAGAAUGGUCCCUGAACUGAUAUUUGAAAUCUUACAUGCUGCAUUUGUGUCUCCACAUCUUAGGACUGGUUACAAGCCCAGCCCAAAUGACAUUAUGGAGCUAUUUCCUGGAAUGUCAAGGGCUGAAAUUGCCCUGUCAAGAAUGAGUCUGUUCUUUCAGGGAUUUCAGAAAGCAAGGGCUCAAAUUGCAUUCUUGCUCUGUUAUUAUAAGUUUUUCCUGGCAGGAAACCACUGGGUCUCAGAAAAUUUGCAUAUAUCCAAUGAGAGUGAUCUACUGUUCUAUGGAGGUUUUCAAGAUUGCAUGACAACACCGUGGAAGAAUCUCAUAUGGGAAAAGGGGAUUUUUUUCCCCCUUUCCCUAAGCCCCAUUUUAAAUAGUUUCCUUCCCGCAAGCUGAUGUGUCCACAUUCAAAGAGUUAUAAGUAACCCAGCCCAUUUUCCUGCCUUGGCCUCUGCCACUGGUUCUAUAAUAUCAACAGCCACACAAAACUGGAAGCAGGUUGUUUAAAGUAAAGAUGCUUAUUCCUUCCAGUCUGUGAAACAGACUUUUGUGGCAUAUGAAGGCAAGAAAUAACCUUUUAGUUCUCCCAGGCAAGGGCACAGCAAAAUGACUCUUCAUUUCUUGUUAACUGUAAGGGCAAGAAAUACCCCCACAUAUUUCAUGAUAUCUGAAUAUAAUUUUUAAUGUUAUACCUGGGAUUUCGGUUAACCUAAAAGACAUGGUACUGGACUACUUCACUUGGUACCAUAAAAGUUUUGUAUCUGUUUGUACUCCUCAGAAUUGUGUACAAAAAUAUUAAAGUAAUUCAGAUAAUAUACUGACACAUUUGAAGUCCCUACUUGUGUAAUCACCAGACCCAGGACUAGAUAUUUUAUUGCUCCAUUAAAGUGACAAAUAAACAUGUGUUGACUGAAGAGCCAGGGGCUGGGAGGCACUUACAGGACUUCCAGACACCAAUCACAGGACUUCCUUUUAUGUCACAGGAAUCCAGUGAAGAAUGACUCAAGUAACUGCAUCAUGCUCACAUUAUUUGAGCAUUCGUACCCAUUAUUGGGUGUUCUGGUUAUUUAUUUGCUUAUAUUUGCUUUCUUAUUUAUAUCCCACUCUGUUCUGAAGAAAUUUAAGGUGACCACUGGGCAUUUUAUCAAGAAUUGGAGCUCAGGCUGCUAAGGCAUCAAUUGUAGGACCAGCUGUGUGCCUUUGAACAUGUCACUUAGCCUCUCUGAAUAUCGGAUUUUUCAUCUGUAAAAUGAAGGCCUUAUGCUGGGGGCUACACAUCAGAGUUGAACUGUCAUGCUGUCUGCCCUCAAAAAGUUUGAAAUUGGUCAAGAAGCAAUAUAUCAAGAACAUGAUAAGGGUGUACUAUUAGGGAUCUGCCAUAGACUGCAAUGCUGGCACAAAGGAAGAAGUGAUCUGUUCUGUCCGGGGAUGGUUGAAAGAAGAAAAGCCUCACAGAGAAGGUAACACUGUUUGCCAUGGGAGAUUUAAUAAAAGAAAAGCAGAAAUUAGUUGUAAAUAAAAUUGGCCUAGAUUAAAACUGUCUUAUAGUCCACACCAUUCAGUGCUAGAUUUAUUAUAAAUUCAAAGCAAGGUAUCAUUUGUAUCCGAUAUGUGACCAGGAUUAACUGGAGAGUAUUCAGGAAAAGCUUCCGUACCUCUUUGUCUAGAGUGGUAGGCAGGAGGCCUCUAAUUUCCUCUACUAAGUUCUUACAAUGCCUUUUGAUUAAUGAUGAGAUGUGAAACUGAGUAUUUACCCUCAGUGACAAGAGUGUGACCCGCAUUAAAUCCAAU
rnacentral:lncRNA from 10 species